AGGAGAUAGAGGAGAGAGGGGAAGAGGAGAGUGUUUUGUUUUCUGUUUAAACCUUUUAUUUGCAAUAAACCAGCACAAGCAAGCGCCUUCACCAUUUCACCUUGCAGUACUGUGUGUUUCUUCCGGGUCUGACAUCACCACUACAAGCCAUCCUGUGACAGGGUGUCAGUGUGUGUGUAUCAGUGGUAAUGUCGAGGGCUGCACUCUGCAUUGAUUUUGUAUUGACUCUGUACUGACUCUGUAUUGAUUCUCAGUGGUAAUAUUGAGGGGCUGGAGUGUGAGAAGGCAGGGCGCCCAGGCGGGGGCGCUGUGGAGAGACUCGCUCGAUCACUGAGCAGACGACUCAACAGCAGGAAGAACCAGAAUGACACAAUCACCCUGACCAGGAGAGAGGAGUGAGACAGGGAGUGAGACACAGUGAGGUUUUGAAAUUGCAGAUGACUGGAGUUUGUGGCAGUCUGACCUCCUGUGUGACAUCAUCGCUAGAGAGAUUCCGGCUCUCCGAUCAUUCCAUUGAGUUUCACUUGAACGUUCUGAGGGCAUUUAUUGACAUUUGAAUGUGCUACUUUACACCAGACCGGGUCAACCACACUCACAAUCACAGUGAGAUCUCCUUCUAUUACAAUGAUCAUUACAAUUAGUUACAGUUCUGGCUGCAGUAUUUCCAAUUCUAAUUAUAAUGACACUAAAAACUGACACAAAGAGCUCCUCAUAGUAUUGUACCAGCAGGACCCACAGGUACAGAGACACACACACACUGGAGAACUUUAUAUUGUUUUAAACAAGCAGGAUCCACUGAAAGUGUUUGAAAACACAAGAAUAAUGAUCGAAUGAAAAAUAAAUGAACUCCAUCAGUUAUAUGUGUCAUUACAAUUACAUUUGAACUGCAAUUACAAUGCAUUACCAAUCACACAGUUACACUUAGAAUCACCAUGCAUUACCAAUCAAUCACACAGUUACACUCAGAAUCACAAUGCAUUACCAAUCAAUCACACAGUUACACUUAGAAUCACAAUGCAUUACCAAUCAAUCACACAGUUACACUUAGAAUCACAAUGCAUUACCAAUCAAUCACACAGUUACACUUAGAAUCACAAUGCAUUACCAAUCAAUCACACAGUUACACUUAGAAUCACAAUGCAUUACCAAUCAAUCACACAGUUACACUUAGAAUCACAAUGCAUUACCAAUCAAUCACACAGUUACACUUAGAAUCACAAUGCAUUACCAAUCAAUCACACAGUUACACUUAGAAUCACAAUGCAUUACCAAUCAAUCACACAGUUACACUUAGAAUCACAAUGCAUUACCAAUCAAUCACACAGUUACACUUAGAAUCACAAUGCAUUACCAAUCACACAGUUACACUUAGAAUCACAAUGCAUUACCAAUCACACAGUUACACUUAGAAUCACAAUGCAUUACCAAUCACACAGUUACACUUAGAAUCACCAUGCAUUACCAAUCAAUCACACAGUUACACUUAGAAUCACAAUGCAUUACCAAUCAAUCACACAGUUACACUUAGAAUCACAAUGCAUUACCAAUCAAUCACACAGUUACACUUAGAAUCACAAUGCAUUACCAAUCAAUCACACAGUUACACUUAGAAUCACAAUGCAUUACCAAUCACACAGUUACACUUAGAAUCACAAUGCAUUACCAAUCACACAGUUACACUUAGAAUCACAAUGCAUUACCAAUCAAUCACACAGUUACACUUAGAAUCACAAUGCAUUACCAAUCACACAGUUACACUUAGAAUCACCAUGCAUUACCAAUCAAUCACACAGUUACACUUAGAAUCACAAUGCAUUACCAAUCAAUCACACAGUUACACUUAGAAUCACCAUGCAUUACCAAUCAAUCACACAGUUACACUUAGAAUCACAAUGCAUUACCAAUCAA